UGCCAGCAGCCGCGGUAAUACGAAGGGUGCUAGCGUUGUUCGGAAUUACUGGGCGUAAAGAGCGCGCAGGCGGUCAGGUAAGUCGAAUGUGAAAGCCCCCGGCUCAACUGGGGAAGGUCAUUCGAUACUGCUUGACUUGAAGAUGGGAGAGGGAAGCGGAAUUUCCGGUGUAGUGGUGAAAUGCGUAGAUAUCGGAAGGAACACCAGUGGCGAAGGCGGCUUUCUGGCCCAUUCUUGACGCUGAGGCGCGAAAGCUAGGGGAGCGAACGGGAUUAGAUA
rnacentral:rRNA from 1 species